ensembl:lncRNA
AGUCGAACGCAGAUUCACUGAGCGCUCAACACAGACAGCAUCGUCAGAAGGAAAGUUGAUAAAAUAAAUUACAAAUUUUGUAUUGUUCGAUACAUAUGCGUACCGAACCGAAAGCACGGUAUCGAACGGCUCAAUAUCGAUACGAGUAUCGUUGCACCCCUAAUAUAUAUGUAUAUAUAUAUAUAUAUAUAUAUAUACUCUUUUGUACAGUUGGGCUAACGAUUCAUUACACAACUUCUCUUCAUAUUAAGUGAGUAAAAUGAAACCUGGGUUCUAUUUUAGUAAUCUAUUUUAAUGUUGCGAACUCAGCUAGAAGGCACAGACAUGAUUUUUAAAGUUUGGUCAACCUUUAUAAUGUCUAUGUCAGCAUUUCUUACUUUAGCAUCUGCUUGUUACAGUUUUUUAAUUAGGAAGCAGUUUUCUUGGUCAGUCUUUGUUUAUUUUGUUUUUUUUUUCUUCUUUUUUUUUAGGCAUGUCAGUGUGUUUUAGCAGUGUGAAUGUGUGUGCUAUCUCUCUCCAAAGCUUCAUGAAUUGCAGCCAGGAGAAUGUGACAGUGUGAAGUAGAGAAAGUCAGUAGUUGGCAACGGAUAAGAGAGAAGAACAAUACCUAGCAAAGUAGUAUUUUCUGCUUUAAACUCAGGUUUGAAGAAUACAUACUGUACAGAGAUUUUUUUUUAUUUAUAAUGCCUUACAAUUUUUUUCUUUGUUUAAAUUCUGUUUACAUUUGAGCAGCCCCAUCAAAACUAAACUUAAGAGCAGCUUCUUUUAUUUUCUAUUUUUUGAAGAAAACAACUGUCAAGUGACAUUCGGAGCAGGAGAAAUGGUUUCACUUUGUUUCCUCUUGUAAAUCUUCUCCAUAUUCUUAGUCAAACCUGUCAAAGCACACCUGCUCGACAUUUAAAACUUUAAAUAAAAUCACAGUCAUUUUAUCGUUUUUUUAAUUUCAUGUAAUCUAUCAGUGUAAAACACUGAUUAAGUGAUGUCAUUAAAAAUAUUCAAAACUGAACUCAAGAGGUAAUUGUGCUUUUGAUAACUACGUCCAAAUCAAUUUUACUGGACUUCUUGAAAAUUGUUGAAAUGACUCUUUACAUCCUCACAAAGAAUUAUUUUUCAAAAUGCAUGCAGGCCAGUCAACUAUAAAUGCUCAGUACUGUAUGUGUUGCCGAAGGCAAGGGAAUGAAAUUGCAGAGAAAUGCACAACAGCACUGCUUGUGAAA